UCCGCUUGUUAAAAUGUAGACUUUCCUUAUUUCUUCUCGCAUAGUUGCUAAUUAGUAUCGCCAGUAUCGAUCUAGUUAACGAAAUUGCUCCUCGUGUACAAAAUGUCACAUAUUCGCACACUUGUAUUAGGAUCUUUAACAAUUCAUUACAUUUUUAAUUACAAUGAACUUUUCUAUAAUUUCAAGUGAACGAAAAAAAGAUCUGAUUUUGUAUAAUAAUAGUAAAUAUUAUAAAAAAGACUAUGUGAUAUCUUUAGAUGCUUUAAAAUGGCAGUGUAUACAUGAAAAGUGCACCGCGAAAUUUUAUGUAGAUCAAGCAUUAAAUAACAUUUUGAAAGAUGAAAUUAUACAUAAUAUCAACCAUCACGAAGAAACUGCAUCAUGUAUCUCAAAAAAAUCAUUUUCUAAUGGACUUAAACGAAAAUCGGAAGACGAAUUGGAAAAGCCUUCAAAAAUCAUCAAUAGAGGUUUUUAACUAAUCCAGAACUAACACAAACGUUUACAGCUUUUUACUAUCCACAUAAUCAAGAACGGACAUUAUAUUCCACUCGUAUACUUAUUACUACCAAACAAAUUUAAAGACACAUAUGCACAAUCGUUUGGAUAUGUGGUUGAUAAAUGUUCGGAAAUUGUUUUAUUAUUCUCUCCAUCAAAAUUAGUUUCCGAUUUUGAAGAAGCUAUACAUAUUGGUGCAAAAAUAUUAUGGCCAGAAAUACGGAUCGUCGGUCGCAGAUUUCAUUUAACACAAAAUUGGCGGAAACACAUUCAAAGUAUUGGCUUAUCAAAAGAAUAUAAAGAUGCAUCAAGUGAAAUAGGUAAUUGUUUAAAAUGGGUAUUCGGAUUACAAUUAUUGAAUCCAGAAGAAGUAAGCGAUUGCUUUUUUGAUGUCAGUUUCUCCAGAUGAUGAAAGGUUAGUUAAGUUCUGUGAUUAUUUAGUUGAAUAUUAUAUUGAUGAAGAUGCAAAAUUCAAUCUACGUAUUUGGGCAUCAAGAGAAAUAACAUCGGAACGUACUACCAAUAGCUGCGAGUCUUUCCACUCAAAAUUAAAUUCACAAUUCACAAAAGGUCAUCUCAACAUUUUCAUAUUCACUCAUGUUUUAAAUCAAAAAAUACAAACUGACAGUUACAUACACAUAAACGGAAUAAACAUACAAAAAACUAACAAAAA